CUUUUACAGUCACAGAGUUCCACUGAGCAUUCAAAAGGAGGAAAGCAAGAGCUGAUAGGAUGACCAAAUAUGGGACUCCGAGUUCCUGGAAUUAGAAGGAAAAAUAUCCUCUUGGAAUUGUCAACUCAUUAUUUUACUCACUAUGGACAAGUCACACAAUCUUAAGCUGCCGCUGAGGUGACAUUCCUUCUCUGGAUAUGGCAACCAUUGAGGAUUAUUGACCUCAUCACGACUAUACUUAAAGCAAUAUUCACAUGAUUAUGUCCUGAUCACAAGAGUUGACACCAUACAAGUUCACAUGGAAUAUUCUUGUAAUUCAGAUUUUCAGAAGAAGUUAAUUUCAGAGUUGUGAUUUUACUUGUUGUCUAAGGCAUUUUUAUUGAAAAAAAUGGAAUAUGUGGCUGUAAAUGAAAGGCCUCUGUGGGAUAACAGAUAUGUUCACAACACAACAGACAAUUCAUGGAGCUAAGAUUCAAUCUUUGAACAAAUCCAGUAGUAAUGUUAAAAACAGCCAACAAAUGAGAGACAUUAAUUUUAGCAUAACAGAUGAAAAGCUCCUCAAAAAUGUGCUGCCACAAAACUCUUUUACAAGAGCAAAAGCAAUACUUAUGACUUCUGCCACCACCCUGCUCCCAACUCCUGCUGAAUAGCUGUGGGUAGUUGAUGGCUUUUAGUCAGUUUUCUUGAAGAAUCUGGCUCCUGAAAGGCUACUCAGGCUCCAGUAGACAGCCCAUACAAAUGGCACUAGUAGACUCAAUGGAUUAAGUAGAUUUGAAGAACAGGGAGGAGUAUAUGGGGGACCAGGAAGGAGAAAACUGAAGGCUGAAGUAUUUUAAUUAAAGAAUAACCUUAAAAUAAACAAACCUGCUUUGCUACUA